CUUAUCAAGAGCGGCGGAGGGACAGGCCCGAUGAUGCCCGGCAACCGGUUCAAGCGAACAAGGUGCCAAUUCCUGCGGCGGGAUCCCCGCCGAAAGAUGAGG
rnacentral:ncRNA from 1 species